AUACGGAGGAUCCGAGCGUUAUCCGGAUUUAUUGGGUGUAAAGGGUGCGCAGGCGGGAGAUUAAGUCGGCGGUGAAAUUUUCCAGCUCAACCAGGAAAGGGCCUUGGAAACUGGGUUACUUGAGUGUAGAUGAAGUAAGCGGAAUUUGUGGUGUAGCGGUGAAAUGCAUAGAUAUCAGGAGGAACACCGAUUGCGCAGGCAGCUUACUAAACUACUACUGACGCUCAGGCACGAAGGCGUGGGGAUCAAACAGGAUUAGAUACCCUGGUAGUCCACGCAGUAAACGAUGAUUACUAGCUGUUUGCGAUACAAUGUAAGCGGCUGAGCGAAAGCGUUAAGUAAUCCACCUGGGGAGUACGUUCGCAAGAAUGAAACUCAAAUGAAUUGACGGGG
rnacentral:rRNA from 1 species